GUAAGGUUUGUAGCGGGGUAGCAAGGACUCUCCUCGUGAAACCUUGGGUGGGGAUUCCUCAACCUGGGUAUUUCCCUUCUGUGGCAAAAGUCUCUUCAGCCCCUGGUCAGGGUAGUGAGCAACCAAGGGAAAUGGGGCCAGAGAAACAGCCAGCGUCCUUACAUGUUGGUGUGCCUGCUGCCCUGUCCUCUGGUGUCAGUCUUCUUAUCUCUGCCUGAGGUCAAAGUGCUUUCUUCCUCCAGCCCCUAAUUCUCCUUCCCACUGCUGCUCCCCUGCAGGACCCAGACAUUGACCCCAUUCCUCUGACUUCACCCUGCCAUUCAUAUCCCCAUCCCCAUAUCUGCCUCUCACUUCUAGCUCUCUCCAUCCCUAAGCCUCUCUCCUAAACCUCCUUCCUAACUUUCCGGCUUCCCUUCCCUGUCUCCCCUGAACCCCAACUUCCUUCCCAAGUCUUGUAUAUCCUGGUAUUCAGCAAAGCCCUUGCCUAGCCAGUACCCAAGCCUCAUCUGCCAUUUCUCUGGAAUUUGCUGAGGUGUGAGAAUGAAAAGGGGGCAGUGAUCCCAAGCUGAGAACCGGCAGUGGACUGAGCAGAACAGAUGGGGAGAGGCAAUGCCUCUCAAUGGGGACAGGGCAAAUAGAAAUAGAAGAGAGAAGGCUCAGGUGGGAACAAUGGGACCAGGCAGGGAUAGGUGGGGACAAGGAGUUCCAGAGAAGGCCGACGUUGGGGAGGGAUUUGGGCUUGGGAAGGAGGUUUCCUUCCCCACCCCAUCCCCCACUCUCUGCUCCGCAUUGCUAGGAGAGAAUGGCAGGAAGAGAAAGAGCGGGUGCUGGGCAACAGGCAGGUGGGGCAAGAUCCAAGCUGGAGCGAAGUGGUGGGAGAGGAGGUGCCAGGGAAGGAGGAGGGAGAGGGGCUGGCCAUGGGCAAGGGUGUUGUUCGAGAGGAGAAUUUGGUGAGAGAGCAGGAGCAUCAGGCUCCCUCCUUCUUGCUGUCGCUGCUGAGAUCGACGGUUGGGUCGCAGCUCAGUGAGCCCCUGCUGCAGGAAACAAGCAAGGGGACCUCCAGGGAGCUCAGGCUGCCGAGGCACGAUAGCCCUGCUCUAUCUUGAAAACUCCCUUCCCAAGUUCAGGAACAGAGCAGGUGCAGAGGCACUGCAGUCGCCUGUUGCCCAGCCUCCUGAGUGAUGCCAGCCCAAUGGUUCCUAAUCUCCAGACUGGCCCUGUUGGUACUGCUGGGCACAGUCAGAGCAGGCCCUUUCUCUCCACGGUCCAAUGUGACACUCCCAGCCCCUCGGCCUCCUCCCCAGCCAGGGGGCCGCACAGUGGAGCCCGUUGGCGGAAGCCCCUCUUCUCGGCUUUAUGAACACACCGUGGAAGGAGGGGAGAAGCAGGUGGUUUUUACCCACCGAAUCAACCUGCCACCUUCAGCCGGCUGUGGUUGUCCCCCGGGCACGGAGCCCCCUGUUCCUGCUUCAGAGGUACAGGCCUUGAAGGUCCGGCUAGAGAUCCUGGAGGAGCUGGUGAAGGGGCUCAAGGAACAGUGCGCUGGGGGAUGUUGUCCCGCUGCAGCCCAGGCUGGCACAGGCCAGACAGAUGUCCGCAGCCUCUGCAGUCUCCACGGCGUGUUUGACCUGAGCCGCUGUGCCUGCUCCUGCGAGCCAGGCUGGGGUGGGCCCACCUGCUCAGACCCCACAGGCGCUGGGGUGCCCCCCUCCACCCCACCCUCAGUCUCCGGGUCCUGCCCAGA